rnacentral:rRNA from 1 species
AUACAUAGGGGGCGAGCGUUAUCCGGAUUUAUUGGGCGUAAAGGGUGCGUAGGCGGUAAAUUAAGUCUAAGGUUAAAGUGCAGGGCUCAACCCUGUGAUGCCUUAGAAACUGGUUUACUUGAGUUUGGUAGAGGUAAGUGGAACUCCAUGUGUAGCGGUAAAAUGCGUAAAUAUAUGGAAGAACACCAGUGGCGAAGGCGGCUUACUGGGCCACAACUGACGCUGAGGCACGAAAGCGUGGGGAGCAAACAGGAUUAGAUACCCUGGUAGUCCACGCUGUAAACGAUGAAUACUAAGUGUUGGAAAAAUCCAGUGCUGAAGUUAACGCAUUAAGUAUUCCGCCUGAGUAGUACGUACGCAAGUAUGAAACUCAAAUGAAUUGACGGGG